GCCAUGUUUAAUUUCUUGUUAGCAUGGCAAAGUGGAUUAUCAAGUGUUUUACUUUUUUAUAAGUUUGUAUGAUGUAUUUGGAUAUCGGAAUUGGUUACAGCUCUUGGCGGUGUUGGUACACAAGCACAGGUGUGAGCAGACAGGAGACUGGAGAGUGUUGUUACAUGUAAUGUGGGUGUUUAUUCUACAAAUAAGACCCGGACAUGUUACACGUCUUGAGUGGUUUGGUGAUAAACAGUUAUUACACGUCUUGAGUGGUUUGAUAAACAGUUAUUUAUGUGUUCAGAAACAUGUACCAUUGUUUACAUGAUGACAGAUUGAUAUAUAUAUAGAAGAAGAUUAUAUAGAUAAUUAAAAGUAGUAGAAACCCCAAAUUGUGUAGUUUCGUCUCUACUAGAAUGGCGCCCAACGUGAAAAUCGUGUAUGGAACAAACUUUUAAGUAUUUUACAGAUCUAUUUCUGGAAGUUGACAGUUUGAUUGGUUGUGUCGUAGCCCCGACGAUAAAGUGGAGUGUAUUGUUACAUAGAUUGGUACAUUGUGGUAGAAUCUAAAGACGUUAUUUGACAUCCUGGCUGGUAUGACUAGAACAUCUUCAGCGUGUCGUGCUAUUAAUUUGUUUGUGGUGGAGGAUCUACAGACAUUAGGCUUUAACAUCCGUGCAUGAUUCAACAUUCGGUGGAACAUUUCAGACUGUGAUCAGUGUUUAUAUAUUAGGACAGUCAGUGGCUAGUUGGUCUUUUUGUGUACCAACAGUUGGUGGGUCGGUAUAUACAUUUUUCCUGGGUCACAAUUUUGUAAUUUUUCAACUUUAAGUGAAAAAAAAUAAGAAAACAGACUUAAACUGUAAUUAAGUAAACUGUUUUAUAGACAGUUAGAGAGUUUUCUACCAAAUUAAGUAAUUGAGUUAGCAUAUAGACCUAUAUUUAAAUAUAGUGAAAAUAGUUGUCAGUUUUAGUAUUACUUACUCUCCGUAUGAACCGUGAUAGAAUAUUGUCAAUUAGAAACUAUAAUUUACAUCGAGCCAAGUGAUUUUCGAACCAGUAUCUUUUCUUUAAAGUUAUUUUAACCAGUUAAGGCUGUGACCCAGGGUGUAACUAUUUUAUAGUGUGCCAGUUGUAAAGAAAAUGAGAGAAAUUCACCACAAUCACAUUUUCAUAAUAAACAUGGUGGUGGUUCUCUUUGCAGGAAAAAUCUCCUCUUUUGAUUAAUAUAUUUGAUACUAUCUUUAUUAAUCUUUCUCCUAAUCCUCUUAAACCGGCAGUUUCAUGUAGACCGCAAUUACAGUGCAAAGUAAUUUCUAAAUUCACAAGGUUUCAGCUGAAUUGAGUCAGGUUUUAUUGUUUACAUACAUUUUUCAGUGGAUACUCAGUUGGCCAUUGUGAUAUUUCAUUCAUAGAAUUUUACUACACUUGGUGGUUGUAAAUUUUGAUUGGUGGUGAUAUCAGUGACACUUUCCUUUAGUGUAUUUUCAUUGGAUCUCGGGUCAUGUGACUUUAGUCCGGUGGUUGUAUUUCUGAAAAAAUCAUAGUUUGACAGGUGUGACCUAUAUUUACUUAGCUUGUCAAUUGUGUAUACAUGUAUUUGUUUUCCAGUGGUAGACAGAACUGAAGAAAGAGAAGCAGAACAGAUAAUUAGACAUAAAUGAAAUAAAUUAUUCUUAUUUUCAGGUUAUUAGACUUGAUAAAUAAAAUAUAAUAUUUUGAGUCAUGAAAUAUAUUUGACACUAAAAGCAAAUAAACAAAAGUUGUGUUUGAUAAACAUA